UUGUGUUAUGCCGCAGUUAUGAACUUAUAGGAGAUGAGGAAGAACAAGUUGCACGUUUGGCUGAGGAUGGUAACAUAUAUGAAAAGCGUGGUUGAUCUCUGGCACCUGAAAUACAUGGGCGUGAAGAUAUCAAGAAGGCUCUGCUUCUGCUCCUAGUGGGUGCCCCUCACAGGAAACUAAACGAUGGAAUGAAGGACCUAGGGGAGUUUGUACAACUGGAAAAGGAAGCAGUGGAGUUGGUCUAACAGUAACUGCUGCUGUUCAGAAGAAUCCCGUCACAAAUGGAUUGGUCCUGGAAGGAGGCGCAUUGGUGCUAGCGGAUAUGGGAAUAUGUGCUACUGAUGAACUUGAUAAGACGGAUGAAUUAGAUCGUGCAGCCGUACAUGAAGUUAUGGAGCAGCAGACUGUCAGCAUUGCCAAGGCUGGGAUCACUACGUCUUUGAGUGCACGAACUCCUGUCCUUGCUGCAGCUAAUCCAGCACGGGGGAGAAAUAACCUGCGUAGAACUCCUGCUGAAAACAUUAAUCUUCAACUGGCCCUUUUGUCGAGAUUUGAUCCUUGAUGGUUAAUCCUGGAUCGAGCAGAUAGGGAUAGUGAUGUUGAGAUGGCUAGGCAUGUUGUCUAUUUUCACCAGAAUAAAGUAUCACCGGCUCUUGGUUUCAGUCCACUUGAGCCAUCAGUUAUUCGGUAAAUUUUGCAGCACUUUUACCUUGGAAGGCUCAGCAGUACUGAUUUCAGGAAGGGAUACAGUGAAGCCCAACUGAAACAAUGUUUGGAGGAAUACGCAAACAUAAAUGUGUGGCAGAUUAAUCCCCCUUCUUUUGACAUCCGGUUUAUUGAUGCCAUUUGAAAGAUGAGCGAGUGAGAAGCUACUCAACUCGGCUUCUGUUAAAGGUAGUUGGAGCUUUUCUUAGGAGUGUGCAUGGGUUACUUCAUCAACCGUAGCAGCAGCGCCAUCUGCCAAGAUUUGUCCCUUUUUCUGUUACAUUUACCGCUCGAAUCAAAGAUUUAUUUUAUCUUUUAUUCUAUUUCGGACUGUUUAGAGCUUAGCUUGAGUAGAUUAUUCUAUUUCGGACUGUUUAGAGCUUAGCUUCAAUACACCAGAAACAUUCCUGUGAUGCAUCUCAUAUCAUGUCACUUCUGAAAUUCAUUUCGUCUGCCUCCAGAAUCCCGGGCAAGUUCCAUGUAGUAAUUAAGGAGAAC